rnacentral:rRNA from 1 species
UGAGGAAUAUUGGACAAUGGGUGCGAGCCUGAUCCAGCCAUCCCGCGUGAAGGAUGACGGCCCUAUGGGUUGUAAACUUCUUUUGUACAGGGAUAAACCUAGAUACGUGUAUCUAGCUGAAGGUACUGUACGAAUAAGCACCGCUAACUCCGUG